rfam:Myotis brandtii contig223990, whole genome shotgun sequence.
AGGUUUGGAGAGAGAAGAGGGGUCUGACCCAUAGCCUCUGUGGCAGCUAUUGAUCAGCCCUUGCCUCUCUCUUUCUCUCCC